rnacentral:rRNA from 1 species
CCCUUAGAUGUCCGGGGCCGCACGCGCGCUACACUGAAGGAAUCAGCGUGGCUUUCUCCCUGACCCGAAAGGGUUGGGAAACCCGUUGAAUCUCCUUCGUGAUAGGGAUUGGGGCUUGAAAUUGUUCCCCAUGAACGAGGAAUUCCCAGUAAGCGCGAGUCAUAAGCUCGCGUUGAUUACGUCCCUGCCCUUUGUACACACCGCCCGUCGCUACUACCGAUUGAACGGUUUAGUGAGGCCUUCGGAUCCGCGACUCGUUUGUGGAGAAGUUGGACAAACUCAGUCAUUUAGAGGAAGUAAAAGUCGUAACA